UACGUAGGAGACAAACGUUAUCCGGAAUUACUGGGCGUAAAGGGCGUGUAGGCGGUUAGGGAAGUUGGCUGUGAAAGCUCCUGGCUCAACUGGGAGAGGUCAGUCAAAACUUCCUGACUUGAGGGUCGGAGAGGGGUGUGGAAUUCCCGGUGUAGCGGUGGAAUGCUUAGAUAUCGUUUGGAACGCCAAUGGUGAAAACAGGUUGCUGGAAGUGUGCUGACGCUGAGACACGAAAGCCAGGGGAGCAAACGGG
rnacentral:rRNA from 1 species